rnacentral:lncRNA from 1 species
CUUCUCCAAGAGUGCGCUGCCUGGGCCCGCUUGCCCUGGAGUGUAAGUGCUGGGUAAAUAAGAACCGCCUGGCGCAGGCUGUGUCUACUCUUCACGCCGCCUUCUCAGAUCGGGCUGCAUGUCCCCACUCCGUGUUUACAUCUCGUUCCCGCUCCGGGUCUCGUAACUUCAGCAGUCAACGGAGAGAAGAGUGGAAACCUUACUGGAUGCGGACAGGAGAGCCAGUUACUGAAAGCAGAUAUAACGCGGAUCCUGUAAAGAGUGGUGUGUAUCCAAAAAAAAAAAAUCUGUACAAUGUAUUUUAAAACUUGUGUGCACAAAACUGAAGAUUUUCUUUUUUACCUAGUCCAAAUGCCGUCCUAGCCUGAGUCCUGCUCUUUAUAAAAAUAAAAUAAAAAGAAUUUGAAGCUUGUGAAAGUAUUAAGUGUAGACAUUCAAGUUUAUUUGAAACCCUACCAAAAAAAAAAAAAAA